rnacentral:lncRNA from 1 species
UGUGGUCCAGAGAAGCACAUCGCACUGGAGGUGAUUUUCAUCACCUGCGGCUCCAUGUACUUCUUAAUACUGGAAACGAAAAAGGUACGAACUUUUCUUUUUUUCCCAGGUAUUGGAGGGACUGGCAGCCAAGAUUUGGAUGAUGCGCCGUGGAGAUGGCUGAAAAAAUUAUGUACUUUUUGUAGGAUUCCCAAAUUCUAGGUCCAGCUUGAUCGAGCGCUUCCCUGGGCUCAAAUGUUCAGCUAUGAAGAUCUAGCACAGGCCACCUGCUUGCCCGCGAAAUUUUUAUCCAAGCCACAAUUCAGCAAAUUUAAACGCUGGACUCAGUUUAGCUAGUUAAAUUGGAAGCGCACAGGUCCAAAGCUUCUUCAUUGUCCGACUGCUUCUGUUUCUUCGCUUUGCUCCGAUUCUGCCUUUCUGUUCUUGUGUGGAGGUUGUUUCUGUGACGGGUGAGAUGGUGGUGGUGGCAUGCUCUCUUUGGUUGCGGGUGCUGCCGCGAUGUUCCAGAAGCGCCAAUUAAAGGUGAAAUCCUUGGUGACGUUCAGGCGCUCUGGAAUGUUGAGCUUCGCUGAGUUCUUUGUCGGCUGUCUUCUCGCCAUAUUCUUGGAGGUAUGCCAGGUGAUAGUGAAACACGUUGGGGUGUUUGGAGGUAACCAGGAAUUCGCUGUUGAUCGCCAUGCUGUGAAUUCAGAACUUCGCGAUCGGCCAAACCAGGGAUUCACUUCCUCUCGGUUGAACAAUUCACAACACGCAAUGCAUAUGGCAGGGGCUCUUGUCAUUCGGCAAUAAUCUCUGGCCGGUGGGUCGUAGUGUUCAGCGCGAUCCCUUGACGUUCUCGGGCUCCUGGUCUCCGAGCGCAUGCCUACUCAAGCGUGGUUGUUCUUUGGCCAUGUCGCUGCGCGGUGGUGCUGCAUGCAUGGGUGCCGGGUGCCGGGUGGAGUCCAUUCUGUUGCGGCGUGUAAUGGCCAUGUUGACGAGCGCACUGUGGUUGGCAUUGUGAUUGGCGUGGAGCUGUGCAUGCCUGCUGAGUGGUCGUCUCUCUCAUACCUCUCAGCCCUGGGUCUUCCAACACUGGGGAUCUUGGGCUCGAUGUUGGUGUCGUGGCUGCGCCAGUACUGCUGCGUUGGCGUGCUUCUGAACUUUUUUGCCGACAAUGCCUUUGCUUGAGGACGUGUUCGUGACGAUCACUGGAGGCGUUAUUGGUUGAGUUAUGAUCCCUGCCUGGCAGCUGCCGUGACCGGGAGGACAACAACACAGGGUGCACGUCCAGACUUGGGUGUAGUGAACAUUGUGGAGGAGGAAAUUCAUGACUCAAUUCUGGGCCUUACUAUGUGUUGAGAAAGAUAAACGUGUCACAUGCAUGAAAGUCAGUUCCAAAAAAUACAGUGGUGCCAAGCAUAACAGGAUAUAAGACUUGGCAGGACAACAUGAUCAUCCAAACAUUUUGGUUGUGUGCAGAUGACAUUCAACAUUGUUGGGACCAAUUGGGCGAUCUUAAAGGGUUCAGUUGUGCUCCAUUACAAUGGCUAGUUGCUGAAAGUAUAUUGAUAACUUUGGCAGAGCCACACCAGCUCUAGAAGAAACUCCACUGGAGGAUCCAAUCCCAUCAAAACCUAUUCAGGUGCACCAAGAAAUAAUGGACAAAGAAAUCUUAACACCAACUCCAACAUCAACUGCUUCAGGUAAAUGAUCUUUGAAAAAAAUUAAUAUCUCUUUAACAUUUGCCUCUCCUGCUAGCGGGGUGGUCGGUGGAGCUAGGCUUCAACCUUUGGGACCUUCAUUUCUUGAGCUUGGGCUGAAACACUCCGUGAAUGUGGAAAAACUUACAGCUCGGGCAUGCCGUCCACAUUGGUGGUUUUGUUUUUGGGAGACCCCUCGAAUAUACGAGAAUAUUAGGUAUAUCCGUUAAAUUGUGAUCACCGUCCGUCUACAUCAUCCCAGCCGUCGAAGCUAGGUCCAAAGUUAGCUCGAGGGUCUAUUUUUAGUAUUUAGCUCUUACAAAAGCGCAGUGUAUCGCCUAGGGUUUUCUCCAGGGAGUAGGUUUUCAUUUGGGGGUUCGAUCGGCCCUAUCUUUUGCUCACUUGCGAUGAAUGGGUGUUGAGGGUCACUGUCUCUUCCUUGAGAUCCACAAGGAGAUGUCACAAUACGUCACAGUACUGUGGUCCAGAGAAGCACAUCGCACUGGAGGUGAUUUCCAUCACCUGUGGCUCCAUGUACUUCUCUGUUCCACAGUACUGGAAACGAAAAGGUACGUAUUGCUUUUUCUUUUUCUUUUUUUUUUCCAGGUAUUGGAGGGAGUGGCAGCCAAGAUUUGGAUGAUGCGUUAAGAAACUUCUCAUCCGUGAAGAUGAGCUAUCCAAGUUGUCCAGGUUUUUGUUUUGUGUCACAUUUGGAUUUGGAUUCCCAAAUUCCAGCUCCGGCUGGAUCGAGCGCUUGCCCAGGCUCAAAUCUAUGAAGAUCUAGCGAACGGGUAUCAUACCAGGCUUGGAUCGCUGGAUCAAAUUUCGGGAGCCCUUGGGCAAGCAGGCAUUCUGGUUUUAAUUUAUUUAAUAUAAAUACAAUUGCAUUGCCUUUGAAGAUGACCUAAACUUGAAAGCAAACGGGCAUUUAAAUUUGCUCCACAUUUUUAUGGAAAUGAAUUGUACUUAGUGAUAGCGAGAUGAUUGCCUCCCACCGUCACCACUGCCACCAUCCUCACCACCACCACCACAGGAGACGGGGACAGGGACAAAGAAUGGCAAAGAAUAGCACAAUCAUAUAACUUGAAUUGGG